GUUUGUCUGACAGUCUUCUCCGGAAACGACCAUGCAAUGUGGUCACUUUGUUCAUUCAGACGUUAUUAUUGUCCUUCCUGCUGGGAAUGAUUGCAAGUUUCCACGACACUGAAUGGGUGCUCAUGGCAGUGGGCAUCACAGCUACUGUGUGCUUCACAGUGGUCCUAUUCACCUUCCAGCCCAAAUUCAAAUUCACUUCCCGUUAUGGAGUUCUGUUUGUCUGCCUGAUGGUUCUGAUCAUCUUUGGUAUCCUCUGCA